GACGAACGCUGGCGGCGUGCUUAACACAUGCAAGUCGAACGGAAAGGCCCUGCUUUGGUGGGGUGCUCGAGUGGCGAACGGGUGAGUAACACGUGAGUAACCUGCCCUUGACUUUGGGAUAACUUCAGGAAACUUGGGCUAAUACCGGAUAGGAGCUCCUGCUUCAUGGUGGGGGUUGGAAGGUUUCGGCGGUUGGUGAUGGACUCGCGGCUUAUCAGCUUGUUGGUUGGGUAGUGGCUUACCAAGGCCUUGACGGGUAGCCGGCCUGGGAGGGUGAGCGGACAAAUUGGGACUGAGAUAAGGCACAGACCACUACGGGAGGGAGCAGUGGGGAAUAUAGCAUAAGGGGAUGAAGCAUGAUGCAGCAACGCCGCGUGCGGGAUGACGGCAUUCGGUUUGUAAACUGAUUUCGUUUGUGACGAAGCGUGAGUGACGGUAAUGGGUAAAGAAGCACCGGCUAACUACGUG
rnacentral:rRNA from 1 species